rnacentral:rRNA from 1 species
GACGAACGCUGGCGGCGUGCUUAACACAUGCAAGUCGAACGGAGUGGCGAACGGGUGGGUAACACGUGGGUGACAUGCCCUGCACUUCGGGAUAAUCCUGGGAAACUGGGUCUAAUACCGGAUAGUGUGGGAUGGGCCCGCGGCCUAUCAGCUUGUUGGUGGGGUGAUGGCCUACCAAGGCGGCGACGGGGAGCCGGCCUGGGAUGGUGGACGGGCCCAUUGGGCCUGGGGAGGGGGCCAGACGUCUACGGGGGGCAGCAGUGGGGAAUAGUGCCAAACGGGCGGAGGCCUGAUGCAGCGCCGCCGCGUGGGGGAGGACGGCCUUCGGGUAGUAAAAUCCUUCCCCCAUCAACGCGUUAGAUGGAGAAAAAGCACCGGCUACUUACGGGCCAGCAGCCCCGUAAUUC